ACGAACAGACGGAAACGACUGCUAAUACCGAAUAAGUUCCAAGAGCCGCAUGGCCCAUGGAAGAAAAGGUAGGCCUCUACCUGUAAGCUAUCGCCUGAAGAGGGGUUUGCGUCUGAUUAGCUGGUUGGAGGGGUAACGGCCCACCAAGGCGACGAUCAGUAGCCGGUCUGAGAGGAUGAACGGCCACACUGGAACUGAGACACGGUCCAGACUCCUACGGGAGGCAGCAUG
rnacentral:rRNA from 1 species